GCAUACUUGAAGCCUUAUAUUUUUUUCAGUUUUCAGGUUGUACAAAUAUAGGCAUGUUUCAUUAAGCCAGCAUAAAAUUAGGUUUCACACCUCCAAAGGCAAGCUUUUACUCUCAGGAAUAUCUACUGCUGGUUUUCAGAAACACUUGCCCAGCAUUAAAUGAAGCCAUGGAAUAAGUGUAAUGAAAUAAGAGCAUCUGCAUAAGAGAUGAUUUCACUUCACUUCACUGGGGCACUGUCAUGUCGUGUCACGUCAUAUUGUGUCAUGCCAUGUCACUGCUCAUGAAGAGUAAGCACCAGAGACAGCAGCUGGAGGUUUCUUUGCUUUUUUUCCGCAGCUAUCCAAAGGACUAGUGGUCAGAAAAUAAUUAAGCGUUUGAGGUUUGUGUAUCUACCCCAAGAUGCUGUGUGGUGUCACGCCUCUGUGUUGUAACCAAAGUUGGGUGUGACAUUCUAUCCUGGAAAGAUAAGGGCUAUCUGCUUCUAACUGCAGAGACCACUCUAGUGAGGCUUGAGACAUUUAGGCAAAGCAAACUCUUGCCUCUGGUGUUUCAGUUGUCUUCUAGACAUCAUGAAGACAUUCACAUGUCUUUGGCACAAGGUAAUUAUUGGUAAGUCCAAGAUAUAUGCUGAAAAAGACAACUGCAAUCAAGAAACCUGGAGCCAAACACUCCUAAACCUGACCUUGAUGUUUCUAAAAUGAUUUUGAAUAUUUUCAAUUAAUUGUAAUUGUUCUAUUAAACUUCCAGUGUGUUUUGACAAGA